CCUACGGGAGGCUGCAGUGGGGAAUAUUGGACAAUAGGGGGAACCCUGAUCCAGCCAUGCCGCGUGUGUGAAGAAGGCCCUCGGGUUGUAAAGCACUUUCAGUGAGGAAGAACGCCUGGUGGUUAAUACCCAUCAGGAAAGACAUCACUCACAGAAGAAGCACCGGCUAACUCCGUGCCAGCAGCCGCGGUAAUACGGAGGGUGCGAGCGUUAAUCGGAAUUACUGGGCGUAAAGCGCGCGUAGGUGGCUUGAUAAGCCGGUUGUGAAAGCCCCGGGCUCAACCUGGGAACGGCAUCCGGAACUGUCAAGCUAGAGUGCAGGAGAGGAAGGUAGAAUUCCCGGUGUAGCGGUGAAAUGCGUAGAGAUCGGGAGGAAUACCAGUGGCGAAGGCGGCCUUCUGGACUGACACUGACACUGAGGUGCGAAAGCGUGGGUAGCAAACAGGAUUAGAUACCCCGGUAGUC
rnacentral:rRNA from 1 species